AUAGUCGAUUCCACUGAGGACUUCGGCUGUGGGUAUUUUAUACCCAACAAAGACUAUUCAACACAAUAGAAUGACUCUUUCGCCCUGGAUGCAAGGUAUCAAAGCUUGGUUUACUGCUUUUCAGUCUAUCAUGAUAUCACAUGUUUAUAGGAAAGGCAAUCAAGCAGCUGAUUGAGCUGCUACCUUUGCUUUGUCAGGGAAUUUUUCUUUUACUUCCGCUCAGUUACAUCAUUUUCCUGGCCUUGUCCGUAUUCUAUGUGCCAUGCGUUCUCCAUUGCCUUUCCAAGACAUGGAUUGUAGAGGGAGCAGCUUUAUUUUGUUAUGCUUAUUUUGUCAGGUCUUGAUCUGC
rnacentral:lncRNA from 1 species